rnacentral:rRNA from 1 species
UACGUAGGGUGCGAGCGUUAAUCGGAAUUACUGGGCGUAAAGCGUGCGCAGGCGGUUCUCCAAGUCCGUUGUGAAAGCCCCGGGCUCAACCUGGGAAUGGCAGUGGAAACUAGGGGACUUAAGUCUGGCAGAGGGGAGUGGAAUUCCCGGUGUAGCGGUGAAAUGCGUAGAGAUCGGGAGGAAUACCGGUGGCGAAAGCGACUCUCUGGACGGCAACUGACGCUGAGGCACGAAAGCGUGGGGAGCAAACAGG